rnacentral:lncRNA from 1 species
AAAGUCACAGAUCUGGUUGAGAGCUUCUGGAUUAGUAGGAGGAGUCCACAAGUCUAUUAUUUACUAUGCACACAAACAUUUACCUAAUUUUUCUUUCAAUAAGAAACCUUAUCCGUUGCGCUGGUGCCUGAUUUUCUGACUGCAAAGUCUCUUCAAAGUCUCCUUUGCAAUUUCUCUGAAGUCUAAACCUCCCUUUGUCUUUUCAUGGAUGAGAGAAUAACAGUGGCUAUAUGAAACGGAGCGGCGAUCUCAAAUACUUGCCAUACUCUGUUUUUCAGCUCCACUUGUUCCAGCAAGCACUUCUGAGGAGUUCAAUCUGGUGUGUCAUGACUAGAACUGGACCAGCAGUUAGACAGAAAAAAGAAGAGAGAAGUAGCUUUUGCACUAUUGUCUGGCAUCAUCUACCUGGAACCAACAGGGUCCACAUUCAGACCACGAAGAAGAGAGACCUCCAGGGGAAAACAAUGAAACACAAUUUUUUAAUGAAAAUAAACAUUAAAUGACAAGGUGAAUAUUACCAUUCCAGCUAGUGGCUCUUCAUCUACUUUUCCUGAGAGACGACUAUGAGGACUAUACCCCAAAUAACACUCAAGUGAUACAUAGUAAGAGAGAAAUACACUUGUUUCUUUAAUCAUUAAUAUUUUAAUUUUAUACACCAUACUCUAACAUUUCCAGAUAAAGGAGGGGUGGUCUAAGAAUACAGUGAAUAAUUAAAUUUUUU